UACGUAGGGUGCGAGCGUUGUCCGGAAUUAUUGGGCGUAAAGAGCUUGUAGGCGGUUUGUCGCGUCUGCUGUGAAAAUCCGGGGCUCAACCCCGGACUUGCAGUGGGUACGGGCAGACUAGAGUGUGGUAGGGGAGACUGGAAUUCCUGGUGUAGCGGUGAAAUGCGCAGAUAUCAGGAGGAACACCAGUGGCGAAGGCGGUGCUCUGGGCCGGUACUGACGCUGAGGAGCGAAGCGUGGGUAGCAAACAGG
rnacentral:rRNA from 1 species